rnacentral:rRNA from 1 species
GACGUAGGGCGCGAGCGUUGUCCGGAUUUAUUGGGCGUAAAGAGCUCGUAGGCGGUCUGUCGCGUCUGCUGUGAAAACUCAGGGCUUAACCCUGAGCUUGCAGUGGGUACGGGCAGACUAGAGUGCGGUAGGGGAGACUGGAAUUCCUGGUGUAGCGGUGAAAUGCGCAGAUAUCGGGAGGAACACCAAUGGCGAAGGCAGCUCGCUGGACGGUACUGACGCUGAGAAGCGAAAGCAUGGGGAGCGAACAGG